rnacentral:tRNA from 1 species
GCCUUCAUAGCUCAGCUGGAUAGAGCGCACCCCUCCUAAGGGUGAGGUCGUAGGUUCGAAUCCUACUGAGGGCGCCA